GUCGGCAUAUAACUUAAAAAAAAAAUCAACUUCACCAGUUCCCUUUUCUCUCUCCUCCAUUGGAACUACUCCUUCAGUCUCUACUUCGACGAUUCAGGAUUGUUUUUUCAAUUCAUUUACUCGGUCUUUCAAAUUACAUACGGCUGAACCAAGAUUACAUACGGCUGAACUAAGAAUUCAAAGAUAGCUUGUUCACCAUUAUCUUUCAAUAUCAAUAGAGAAGGAUUGAAUAUAGCAGAGAAAAGAAAAGGAGACGACUUAGAGGAGUUCUUGCAAUUCAAGCGUGUUGUUCAUCAUUGGAGGUUGUAUUUUGUGGAUGAAGAAGGUAAAGGAGAUUCUCAUAUAUAAUUGGAUUUUUAUGAAUAUGUAAAUGUGUAUUUUUUUUGUAAUAUUUUUAGAUUGCAUCCUUUGUCAAUGUAAACAUUAAAAUUUAUCACACGGUUAGACUAUAGCUUUGUAAAUUUCUUCAUCUUUUAUAUAAUAUACUCCCUCCAUAUUUUUUAGGGGUUACAUGUA